CUGGGUCAAAGGGUGAAGUAGAAGGAAGCUGGAAACACAUAGUAUUUUAGAAGUUUUUCAGAGAAAUCACAAGGCAGGAACUUCUGCUCAGUUUGGAAGAAAGAGCAUUCCAUCAUGACCCUUGGACUGGGUGAGAGCAUCAUCCUUUAAUUAAUGUCUGCGCUGGGUCAGAUAACCAUCACUGUCUCCAGGUGCUGGAAUACAGAGAGGAACCAAACAGAUAAAAAUCCUUGCCUGCACGGAGCUUACCUUCAGCUAAGGGAGACAGUCAAAAACAAGGAUUUAGCCAAAUUUGGGUGCUAUUUCCCUUUUGUGGAGGGACUUUUCAUCACAAUGAGAAGGACGUCUUAGGACUCCAGGACUUUGAGAGAGAAAGUGUCUCUACAAGUCAAAGCAGGAAUAUCAGCCUUCUUACACUAGGACAACUCCAAAAUUGUGUGAUUGGCAAAUUGACAAUCAUCGAUUUGUUGACUGAACACCUGUUAGGUGUAAGGCACGGUGUCAUAUGCUUUCCUUGGGGCUUGCCUUCAAGCAGCUAACAGAAAUAAGAAGAAAACAGGUGAAAAAGACAGUGUGAUAAGGCCAUGGUGGUGGAUUGUGGAUGCCCUGCCC
rnacentral:lncRNA from 1 species